GACGAACGCUGGCGGCGUGCUUAACACAUGCAAGUCGAGCGGUAAGGCCCUUUCGGGGGUACACGAGCGGCGAACGGGUGAGUAACACGUGGGUGACCUGCCCUCAGCUCUGGGAUAAGCCUGGGAAACCGGGUCUAAUACCGGAUAUGACUCCAUGACGCAUGUUGUGGGGUGGAAAGCCUUGUGCGGCUGAGGAUGGGCCCGCGGCCUAUCAGCUUGUUGGUGGGGUGANGGCCUACCAAGGCGACGACGGGUAGCCGGCCUGAGAGGGCGACCGGCCACACUGGGACUGAGACACGGCCCAGACUCCUACGGGAGGCAGCAGUGGGGAAUCUUGCGCAAUGGGCGAAAG
rnacentral:rRNA from 1 species